rnacentral:rRNA from 1 species
AGUGAACGCUGGCGGUAGGCCUAACACAUGCAAGUCGAACGGCAGCACAGUAAGAGCUUUCUCUUCCGGGUGGCGAGUGGCUGACGGGUGAGGAAUACAUCGGAAUCUACUUUUUCGUGGGGGAUAACGUAGGUAAACUUACGCUAAUACCGCAUACGACCUUCGGGUUAAAGCAGGGGAUCUUCGUACCUUGCGCGAUUGAAUGCGCCGAUGUCGGAUUAGCUAGUUGGCGGGGUAAAGGCCCACCAAGGCGACGAUCCGUAGCUGGCCUGAGAGGAUGAUCAGCAACACUGGAACUGAGACACGGUCCAGACUCCUAAGGGAGGCAGCAGAGGGGAAUAUUGGAAAAUGGGCGCAAGCCGGAUCCAGCAAGACCGCGUGGGUGAAGAAGGCCUUCGGGUUGUAAAGCCCUUUUGUUGAGAAAGAAAAGCAGCAGGUUAAUAACCCGCUGUUCUGACGGUACCCAAAGAAUAAGCACCGGCUAACUUCGUG